rnacentral:lncRNA from 1 species
GAUCUUUGUCUACUGAUAAUGGUAUUCCAGAGCAGCAUGUACUAGGGAGAACCCGGCUCUGUGUCAGACAGUAAGACGAUUUCAGCCAGCUUGGGAGGUUGAUGUCUGGUCUUCCUCCAGGCCCUGUCUUAGAGAAAAGGAAACUACCAUUUUUAGGGCCCUCCAUGAUCCAACGCUGGACUCAGGGCCUUACAGAUGCCACCUGUACAGAAGGGGAAACAGACAUCGGUGCGUAAGUAAUCUCCCCACAGUGACACACCUAGUGAAUGGGAGUGCCAGGCUAGAAACCCAGUUCUAUCCACAAGGUCCAACCCCAGGGCUAUUCAAUGCCUUGUCCCCAUGUUCCCUAGCCUCUGAGCAUCUCUCCCCCUGGACCUUGGCUGCUACUUCAGGCCAUUUCUCCUCCUUGUUCUAGUCAGAAAUUUCUAGGUGCUUACCUAGGCCACAGAUGAGACAUAAGGACCCCAGGAACAGCAAGCCCCAACAUGUGAAUACCACACACACGUGCAGAGAUGUCAGGUCAGAGGCAUGGGAGGGGCUUUGUCAUCUCCUGGGAGUUAAGGACCUACUUUCUGUGGGGUACCUCCUCCUCCUUUGAGUCACCUUCCAGGAGUCCCCAUGUCAACAGGGAGAGUAGGGGGUGGGGGUGGGGCAGUCUGGUGCAGGGGCACAGAAGAAAAACCAUUUUAUAGGAAAGCAGGGGAGGCUCAACAAAAGCACCAACACUAGCUGUAAUGUGGCGACAAGUUGGAAGGGAUCAUGCCUCUCACAAUGUGCUCACAACACCUGAGCAGAGGGAGAAACGUGGUGUGAUGUGUGAGCAGCUGGGAGGCUGGGCCGGCAGAGUGGCGGCGGGGGAGGAGGGCCGGAGAAAGCAAUGGGAACAGGUGGUCCUUUCACAAGCUCCCAGGCCCUCAGCCCCUGACACAGCAGCUGUCCUAGAAACAGGCCCAGGUGGACAGAGAGAAGAGCACAGCAGGGGGUGCAUGAUGUUUUUGCAGAGAUAGAAAUGAGCUCUCCCUAAUAGGCCCCACACAUUUGAGCAGGGGGGCACACGCGGUGAGCUGUGUGACUGAGCCUGGGUGAGCCACACCUCCUCCGCCAGCCAUCUAGCUGUAGUGCUGCUCCAAAUGUGACCACAGGGGAACUUUCUGGAUCCAAGUCCCCAGGCGUCCCAAACACCCUGGCUGCAGUAAACACAAUGAUAGUCACUAACAACUGGUGUGCACACUUCCACUGUGCUCUACAUUUAUGGCUCUUACAGUCCUCGUCUCAUUUAAUCCUCACACUAACCUCUGAAGAAGGUCCUCUGACCAUUGUUUUACAGACGGGGAAACUGAAGCAUAGAGAGCUUAAUGGAGGAAGAGAUGGAAGGCUCGUGCCAUGAUUUGGUACUGGGUCAUCUGACUGUCCAUGCAGUUAGCUACGCAUUCUGCAGACUUCCUCCAUCCCCAGCUCCCACAGUUACAAAAAGUUCUUUCCUGCUCUGAGUUCUGAAAUGCUCACAUUCCCAGCUCCAAGAGGAUUCCCAAAAUGAAUGUUUACCUUCUCUUACAGUUCAGUCUAGCCUUCACAUCUUGGGAGGGGUUAGAGGGGGCAGAGGAAAGGAACUUUAGCUGCCUAGGUGCAGUUUAAAGAGGGUCUAGGUACUGUGGCUCUCAGCAGCCUUUGACCCUGGGGCCACUCUCUUCAUCUUAUGGAGGACAAGGCCUUUGGUUCCCUGGAGGUUCACUGAAAAUCACUGACAUGAGGCAGAUUGAUUAAUAGGAUAAAAGUCACACAAAUUUAUUUAAUGUGAGUACACAUGAACCUUCAAAAUGAAGACCCAAAGACACAGGGGAAAUUGUCCAUUUUUAUGGUUGGGUACAACAAAGUAUGGACAGCCAUGUAGAAAUAUGAUUGAACAAAAAGGGUAUGAUCUAAUGCUAAUAGACUGAGUGGGGAAACCAAGCAAGGCCUGCCUGUCUGGAUUCUUCUUGGCCUCUCUGAGCAUGCAUUCCUCUGUGAACCCAGAAAAUCUGAGACAGCUCUCAGUCCAGAAAGUUUAUUUUGCCAAGUUUGAGGGCCAGCCUGUGACACAACCUCAGGAAGUCCUGAUGACAUGUGCCCAAGGUGGCCGGGGCACAGCUUGGUUUUAUACAUUUUAGGGAGACAUGAGACACCAAUCAAUAUAUGUAAGAAGUACAUUAGCUCUAUCCAGAAAGAUGGAGACAACUCAAACCAAGCCCCCUACCUUCCAGGUCACAGGUAGCUGACAGACAGAUGGCUGCAUUCUUUUGAGUUUCUGAUAAGUCUUUCCAAAGGAGACAAUCAGAAUAUGCAUCUAUCUUUGUUAUCUCUGUGAGCAGAGGGAUGACUCUGAAUAGAAUGGGAGGCCCUGAGCGGUUCCCAGCUUGAAGGGGCCCAAGAUAUUUUCUUUUCACACCUUCCUUCUGGAUGUGGGGCAGGACCCUCUCUGGAACAACGUAGAACAGAUCAUUUCUUUAUGGUCAGUUUUUACACAGAAAGAUGAAGAGAAAAUUAGAGUAAUGAUUUUAGGUUUCAUGGCUGACUUUGGGAAAAGGGGGUUCUGGUUUAUACGGCUGCCUUGGAGAAGGGGAAUUCUAGUUCCUAGUUCCUAUGGCUUGCCUUGUGGGACAAUGAGACUGAGACAGGAGGGCAAGAGAAGAUCAGAGAAAAACUUUUGCUUCUGGGGCAGUAUCUAUAUCUAUCUCUCUAUCCAUCUACAUAUCUAUACUGGUUGAAUUGAAGUGGUAGUCAUUAUAACAAUCUUUCAACUAUUCUGCAUGCCUGAAAAUCUGUAUAAUAAAAAGUUGGGGGAAACGCUUUAAAGGCUGCCCCGUGACAACAUGGAUUACCUCUUUCUCUAUUUCCCUAAUAUUGUGCAUUAUCAACAACUUAAUCACAUUUCAUUGUAAUUAUGUGCUAAGAAACUUUCUCCCAUAGGCUGUGUAAAAGUACAGUAGCUGCACACAGUAGGCACUCAAUAACUGCUUGCAUGCCUGAAUAUCCUCUCCUAUGAGGCUGUCCUUGAGAAUUAAUAAGCCACCGGAGUGGGAAGACGCCAGAGUUAACCAUACACUACCCUUUGAUGCUUCAUUCUUCAUAACACAGAAGCUCAUGAGCGAGCACAGGAAAGGCGCCGUGCCUGGGAGGAAAGACAAUAAAUGGCUAUGGACUGAAUGACAGCUCAGUUUAAAACUCAGGAGAUCCAGCCUCUGUGGUCAUAUGAUUAACUGGCUGUGUGACCAUGUCCAAACACUAACCUCUCUGUGCCUCUGUUUUCUCACUUGCAAACAGGGAGUAAUAAUGUGUCUUGGCCAAUAAGUGGAGAAAAGUGUUUUGAGGCCGGGCGCGGUGGCUCAAGCCUGUAACCUUAGCACUUUGGGAGGCCGAGGCGAGCGGACCGCCUGAGCUCCAGAGUUCAACACCAGCCUGGGCAACACGGUGAAACCC